GGGGGGGGGGGGGGGGGGGGGGGGGGGGGGGGGGGGGGGGGGGGGGGGGGGGGGGGGGGGGGGGGGGGGGGGGGGGGGGGGGAGCAGCGCGAAGCCGCCGCCGCUUUUCCGUCCCCCUCGUUUCUCGCCUCGGUCCAGGCAGCGCGUGGAGGGGAAGGACCGAGGUUCAGUGCCUGCCCCUCGCUUUUCCCCCUCGGCUGUCCGCACACGGGGUGGGGGGACCGGGCACCACAAGCUGCUCCCACCUUCCUUCCAUCCUUCCUCCCCUGCACAUCUCAGCCUCCUCAUCCAUCCAUCCAUCCAUCCCCAGGGAUGAGCAGCACUGUGGCAAGCCCGAUGUCAGCAGUUGCCUCCUCAAGCACUGGAAGAAAAUCAACAAGCUUUACACCUGAAUUGCAGAGUAUGAUGGAUUUAAAAGGCAGAAGGAAGAGAGAGAAACUCACUUUUUGGAGUAGAAUAUCAAAUCCUGUUUGAACCCAGUGGCAAGAUCUGGAAAUCUCUGGAUAAGAAUAUCUCAUGGUCUGAAGGUGGUGUCUUUGAUUGGUGUCUAAUUUGCAGCACAGAAAUGUUGAGCCAGUGUUUGAUUCCAUGGAAUGCUUAAAUUUACAUGUAACGUUAAGCUUGUGAGUAAUCACAUUUAAGGUUAUUAAUAUGCUACAUCUCUUACAUACACUACACCUAUUUUUGAACCAUGGCAUUCUAAGGGAAUGAACUG
rnacentral:lncRNA from 12 species